UACGGGGGGGAGCAAGCGUUGUUCGGAUUUACUGGGCGUAAAGGGCGCGUAGGCGGCCAGCACAAGUCAGUUGUGAAAUCUCCGAGCUUAACUCGGAAAGGUCAACUGAUACUGUGCGGCUAGAGUGCGGAAGGGGCAACUGGAAUUCUCGGUGUAGCGGUGAAAUGCGUAGAUAUCGGGAGGAAUACCAGUGGCGCAAGCGGCGCCCCUGGCCGUGACCUGACACUGAGCCACGACGGCGUGGGGAGCAAACGGG
rnacentral:rRNA from 1 species